rnacentral:lncRNA from 1 species
GUCUCUCGGAAACAGUCUCUCUACCUUGGUAAGGUGUGUGUGGACACCACCCUCCCCAGAUCCCACUUAUUGUUGUUAUGGCAUUUGGAGUUGAAUUUAUCACCUUUAUGAGGAAUUUGCAUUUCUCAUGUCUGAUGCUUAAUACUAGUAGUCAAACUGUAGGUUAAAUAUUUUGUUACACUUACAUUAGAUCCUGUUUGUGACGGAUUUUUUUCCGUUAGAGACUUGUAUUUCAGUAUACUGAUUAGGAAGAGAUUUAGCAACUUCUACUUUUGGAUUAGAGCAACUCCUAUUUUGAUUUAAAAGGAUAGAUUUUUCAAUUGGAAUGAAAAUGAUUAUAGAGAGAUUCGAAAGACUCCAUCUAGUUUGGGAUUUUGAUUGCUUGAUUGAAUGUGCUUAAAGCCAGCAUGUAAACUUUAUGCAUAGCCACAGUGACAAAGCUUUACUGUAAACUUUGUCUGCAUUGCAAAAGCCUAUCUUGCUUGUUUUUAUCUUUCUGCUGCUGAUUUAUCUUGGACUUUAUAAGUUAUAAAUUAUUAACUUUUGAAUUUCAUUGUGCAUUUUGAUUUUUGACUGAAUAAAGAUGGAAUUACUUUUUGGAUGGUGUAUUUAGAAGUUUCUAAUAAUCUGCCUACUUUGUGUUUUGCAGAUAUGUAUCCAUGGCUGAUAUAGUUGACCUUUCACCACUUGCUUCUUAUUCAACAGUGAGAUUUAUAGAUUUUCGUGCUUUUGUGUCCUCCUGGUGUGGUGUAAACUUGGAUGUUAUUUGCUCUAAGGACCAAAAUAUACCAUCUCCAUUAUCUGAGAGCCUUCGACAAUGUGGUUCUCUAUUGUCUGGUUAUUAUGGUAGUUUCAGUGGUUGUUUGUCUGCGUUAAAAGAAGAUUGUAGAACAACAGUUUGGACAUAUAAAAAGGACAAUGAAGAUGGAGCUUUAGACUCGUUUCAACCUGAUGACCAACUUAGGAAGAAAAAGAAGAUAUCAUUUAUUAGGAGAAGGAAAGAUGUGUAUAAAGCUCUUGGUCCUGGUUCUGCUGCAGAAUCAGCCACUGUUUUGGCAUUUGGAAGCCUUUUUACUGCUCCUUAUAAGGGAUCUGAAUCCCAUGUUGACAUUCAUGAAGCUCCUAAUGAUCCCAUUGUACAGACCUUAAUAAAAAAGAUAGAGUUCCUUCCCUUUGUGCCCGAAAUAAUAAAUGCCGGCAAGAAGUUUGCUCUUCAAACUAUCAAGGGUCCCUUUCUUUGUGCACAGCUCAGGCUACUAGAUGGACAAUUCAAGAACCACCAUAAAGCUACUUUUCUUGGUCUGAAGCAGAAAAUAGAAUCUUUGAGGCAAACAGGACAGAAACAGAUCCAUGUAUUUGUGAUGACUGAUCUCCCCAUGGCUAAUUGGACAGGGAGUUACUUGGGGAACUUAGCAAAAGAUUCAGAUGCCUUUAAGCUGUUUGUUAUUAGAGAAGAAGAUGACUUGGUUCAAGAAACUGCUAAAGAAGUCAUGGCUGCAGGGCAUGGGCUAAAACUUGGUUCUGUUUCACAGAGUUCGGCAGGGAUUGACAAGCGUCACUAUCCUCAAUCAUUAACUGAUGUUCUCUUAUACAUAGAGGAAGUAGUCUGCAGCUGUGCUUCUCUUGGUUUUGUGGGCACUGCUGGGUCAACAAUUGCCGAGAGCAUAGAAUUAAUGAGAAAACAUGACAUUUGUUCUGGCUAAAUUGCUCUGGCUUCUAGCUAACUAAUGUUACUCACCCAGCUUUGUGUUCUCCCAUUUGGCAGUUAGAAUCCAUGUAUCAUCUGAAAUUCUCCCUUUCCACAAGCGUGAACUUACAAAUUAACAAUGUCCUGCUCGAAUUCAAAGAUGGACUAGGCUGUCAAAUUUGAAGGAUACAAGUGAUCCACACUGCUGGAAGAGGGACUAUUGGAUGAAGAUUCUGCCGCAUAUAUCAAUGGAUUAGAAAAACUGAUGGCUGGAUUUGUCUGGUGCGGAGUUUUCUAUUCUUCAAAUGCAUACUGCUAACUAGAUUCCACCCUUUUAAAGGGAGGAGGUAAUCAUAUUUCUAAAUUUAAGUCCAGAAUUGGAAACAAGAUCAACAACCUUCAAGGUGGGAAGGCUAUUCGUUGAUUUGUGGCAUUUAAUAACCGAUAACUUAGCACCCUGUAGAACAAUUGAACUGUACAACAUGUUUAUGUACUCUGUUGGAGGUGCUCCUUCCCUUUCCUGAUUACACUUUGUUCAGGGCUUAGUACACCAAGAAGAAAUUGAAAGGUUCUGCUCUAUGUUGAUUCUUAGCCGCCGUUUGUCUCCUCCUCACUAUGGUUUUCUAUGAACAUAUUUAUGAAUUUGUACUCUGAAGUCAUUGUUCCUUUCACAAUAAACUUUCUGGGAGAGCAGUAUGGAUAGACAACAAAAUUUCAUUAUUUGCUUCUGGAAGAAAGGGUUGUACUGAAUUGUUACUACUAUAUGAAAUUCAAUCAGGUUGAUAUUUGUUUGUUUUCAUUUGUCUAUUCAUUUCUUUACAAGGGUUCAAAUUCCUGUAGAGACAAAAAGGGUUGGUUGAACCUUUUAUGGCGGAGUUACCGAGUAUCUAUGUUGGUGGGAGAUAAAUGUUAUUUGAUGGAAUAGUUGCAUGCAAAUUAACUAGAAGAACAAUAAUAAUAUAUAUUCAGUGAAAUUUUACAAGUGAAGUUUUAAGAUGAUAGAAUAUAUGUUCACAUUACCACUAACUCAUUGAAAUAGAGAGGUUGCUUUAAUCCAAAUAUAAUAAACGAACAUAUGAUAAUAGAUAUCACAAGUAAUACAAUAGAACAAAAAAAAUGUUUUAGCUCACUUCUUGGAGAGACAUGAUUAAAUGUUACUAUUAUAUUAUGGGCAGAGGGCAAAUAUAAGAGUGAUAAAACUUUUCCAAAGUAAAUUGGAAACUUCUCUUGUAUAGAUUUCUUUAGAUAUAUGAUGUUUUAAUUGUAUAAAAGAAUAUAUCUUUUAAGAAAUUAUACUUCUUCUUCUGUUUCAAUUUAUGUGACAUUUUUCAUUUUUCAAGAGUCAAACAGUUUAAAUUUGAUUCAAAAAUUUGCGCAUGGAAUCUGUAGUUUUCUUGAAAAGAAAUUUAUAUAGUUGUAAACUACGUAAAAAGUACUAUAAGUCACAAUAAUUGAUAAUUUAAAAUGUUUAAAAGAUCUAUGGAAAACUUACUGUUAAAGAUAAAUUUUGUUAGAAUCUCAAAAUUCGAAAAAUAUCACAAUAAAUGAAACGGAGAAAGUAUUAUUUAUUAGUGUAUAGAGUGAAACUUUUUCUCCUAUAGUUGGUUUAAUUUUUCAAAGUCCCGUAAAUCUAUUUUAUUUUUUUUUCCUUCUUUUUUCUCCCUUGAAACGGAAUACGUAAAAGAAAAAUCUACACUUCCACUAAUUAGAGAUUAAAAUAUUUCCCCAAUUGUUAUUUCCAUGUAUUUAUUAUAGUCGGUGUACAUAGAAAAACAUGUCUUUUAUUUUGCAUAAUUUGUAUUAUAUUUAUUUAUAUGUUGACUUGAAGAUAUGCCUUUUAUCCAUGGGAAGGACGAUAAUAAUUGAUGUUGUCAAUUAUUUGUCUAGUGUUUUGAAUUAUGUGGAAUUCAUAAAUUUGGUUAUGGAUGUGACAUUUUGGUCCACUUCUUGAAUGGCUCCAUUCACUGUUCCUGUUUAUGCAUAUUUAUUUCAUGUUGGACGGCAUAAGAAGGAUCCGCCUACUUUUUUUUUUUUAAUUUGGUUUACGUAGUUUGUAUUGAAGUUUUAAUUAAAUUUGAGUCAUAUAUUGUAAGGUUCAUUUAGAAGUUAUGCUUUUAAUUGAAUUUUUUCAUACGCAGGACUUGAAUCAAAAACCUCUUGUUAAGGGUGAAAUAAUUUCUCCAUUGCACCACAACUCAUAUUGAUAACUAUGUUUUGAGUGCGAUUUGAACCAGGAUUUGCCUACUUAGGACUUCCUUCGUUCUAUAGUUGUUUAUGUUAUUAUAAAUAGUUAUCUCGAAUUAUUUAUUAGUUUAUAAAAUUAAGAUAUAAUUAAUUAUUAUUUUUAUUUUACCUUUUCAAUUAAUUCUAUUUUUGAAAUAAAUAUGAGCAAAUUUGAAAAAAAAUUAAAAGAGUUUUUAAAGGAUAAAUUAAUGAAAUUGUUAUUUAGGGAUAAUUUCAGAGACCUCCCUUCAAGUUUGACUCAAUAACAUUCACCUCCCUUCUGGUUUACAAUAUUACACUUACCUCCCUUAUUUUGAAUUUUUGGUAACAAUUCAUUUCACUUAUUAAUUAUUGAUAGAAAGAAUUAUAAUCUGACUAAUUUGUCUCUUCAAAAUACUAUUUUUUUAUUCCUUGAUAAUCGAUUUAUUUUCAUCUUCCAUUGAAACCUUUUUGUUUAAAUGAAUUUAUAAUUUUAUACAAUUCACGGUAAAAUCACUUAUAAUGGUGUCAACAAUUAAGAUGAAAAUAUAAUAUGUUACGAUGACUUAAUUAUUGAGCUGGAAAAGAAAAUGAUCAAAAUUAGGAUAAAAUGUAUGUUAAAUUGUUUGCAUUCCAGUCGAUAUAAAAAUUGAGUUGCUCCAUUUUUCAAGUUUCAAUAUUUGAUAUAAAAAUCAUUUUCAAUAAAAUUUGACAAAUAAAUCGGUGGCAUCAACUCUAAAGCAAAUUUAGCAUAAUGAGUUAAUGGAAGAUGAAAAUAUUUAUUUUAUAACUUUUUUUUUUUGUUUGAAAAAAGCUUGUUUACAAGAUAGGAUAUAUUAAAAAGGGUAGAUUAGUCAUAUCAUAAUUUUUACAUUAAUAAUUAAUAAAUUAAAUGAAUUGUAACCAAAAACUCAAAAUAAAGGAGGCAAGUGUAAUAUUGUAAAUCACAAGGGAGGUCAAUGUUAUGAAGUCAAACGUGAAGGGAGUAAUACUUCUUUCAUCUCAAUUAUUUUUAUUUAUUUUUUUUGAAAUUUAUCGUCUAAAAUAAACCUUAAAUAUUUAUGUGACUAUAAAUCACUUCAUUGAGGAAAAAAUGAGAAUCUUAAAGUUAAGUUAUUUCUAAGUUAAAGUUGAGGACACUUGUAAACUUUUUCAAAUUUUUAGCUAAAAAUAUUUAAUAAAAACACCUUAUCAUCUGUUCAAUCAUAAUAAAUUAUAAUUCAUGCUUUUAAAGGUGUUUUAUGAGUUGAGCCUCGAGAUAGAGUGUGUUGAUCGAGUUUUUAUUUUGGAGCAUAAGCCCAUAGAACCUCUUCAAUUUUUUUAGCAAAUGGGGGUGGGGGUGGGGUGGGGGGGUGUAAAUCAACACGUAAACUAUACAGUAAACAUGCCUGGUUUGAGGCUUCAAAAUGUAUUGUUUUUCGUUUUUUAAGAGUUGAUUUAUAAAUUUCUACUCAAUUUAUUCAAAAAGUCUAAUUAGUUUGUUUUAGAUAAGUAGUACUUAAUUAUUGUUUUAUUGAUUUUGAUCUACAUUUUAAGUGAAGCAGCUUUGUGUCUAAUUACACUUCUUUUUUUUAAUUACAACAUUUGAUAAAAUAUUAAAAAUUUAUGGAGUUUAUGUCAGCGCAUCGAGAUUUAUGCCACAUUCGGUAUAAUAAAAUAACACCUCGUCUUAUGCAUUGUGUUUUAAAACACUAAAUAUUUAAAUAAAAUUUAUUGACAAAUUUAAAUAAUAUAUUUUAAAAUACAAAUUAUAAUUUAAAUAAUUAAAUAAAAUUUAUUGACAAAUUUAAAUAAUUAUUAACGUAUUCCGCUGUAACAAAAAAACAUAUUGAGGAGCAUUGGAAAUAGAAAAAGAUGGGCUAAAUAUCCUCUUAUCGUCACUAUACCGACUGUUCACACUGCGAACCACACGAAGCAAAAAAGGCUAAAAUAAUAUUCCUAAUAUACUAUUAACAUUUAUUUUAUUUUUGGUUAAAAGAAUAUACUAUGAACAUAUUAGAGUGGACAAACUUUUUUUAUUUUUCACAAAAAGUUGCAAAUAAUGUAAGCAAAAUUAUAGUCAAAACAUGAAUAUGCAGAUUGCGAGUAUAACUACCCACCUACUACUAUAAAUAUUACACACCUAAAACUUUCUUGAAAAACUCAACGUGUCCAAUCCUUAUCCUUCUUUUUUGUUUUGUUUUCAAGAAUCGAAUUGGGUAAUUGUAAAACAACCCAAGAUUGGAUUUUUUUUCACUGUGUAGGAAUUUGGUUUUGAUCUGAGAGUAAGAGAGAUGGAGGGUGUAGAUUACUUGGCUGAUGAGAGGAAGAAAGCUGGAUUUGAUGUGGAUGAGAUGAAGAUUGUUUGGGCUGGUUCUCGUCAUGAUUUUGAACUGACAGAUCGUAUCUCUAAGCUUGUUGCUAAUGAUCCUGUAAAUCCCUUUUCCUUUUUUAAAUUUUAUCCUCAAUUUUUAGAUUUUUUGUUUGAUCCCUAUUUGGGUAUGGAAUGGCUGUCGGUAGAUAUAAAUCAGGCUUUGUUGUGAUUUGUUUAGCUUUAGAAUUGAUGAUUUGCUGAGGGUCUUUCGGAAACAGCUUCUCUACCGAGGAGAGGUAGUAGUAAGGCCGGUGUACAUUGGGUUUGUAGUUGUUAGAGCAGAUGAUUUAUUCUUCUUUGGUUGCUGUUUUUUGGGUGUUUAAUGUUUUAUUUUCUUGUUCUUUGUACAUGCAUAUGGUGAUAAUGGAGAGAAAAUUCAUGAUCAUUAACUGUGUUUUAAGGGGAAAAAGAUUUGAUUAUGAUAAGUUUUAGGCAGCCGGUAAUGUGUGUGAGUUAACUGAUAUAAACUGACCACAUUCUGGAAUUGAGCUUUCAUCAAACAUUAUUUAGUAGGUUAAAUUUUUUUGACGUGGAAUGAUGAAUCAUUUUUUGGUGUGAAAACUGCUCUGAUGUUCUGAAGAAAGAAAAACGUAAACACAACUGGCGCAGGUGGAUUAGAAUCUUUUGGUAGGAACUGGGACAAGUUUUUGAUUAAUGCUAACAUGGAAUUGAUUUUUAAGAUGAUUU